ACUAAGGGAGGAUGCACCUUUGGGAAUGCCUGAAGCAGUUAUUUCUGAGACACUCAUUAUAUUUCAGGCAAUUUGCGAUACGGGAAGAAGGAGUCAGUGAGCAGACAGGUUAACUGUUCAGGUUAGCACUAGAUCUCAGAAAGUGCUACACCAGACACGGGGCGGUGUUAUGCCACUGAUCACAGAGAUACCCUUUCUGUUACCCAAGAAGCACAGUCAUUCUCAAGGCCAGGAUCGCUGGGCUGAGAGGUAUGCUGUGUCUCUCCUAUAUGUGUGACUCCAGGAAGGAAAAGGACACCUUGCCGGGUGUCCCCCUCCCGAACUUCUAGUCCCAUUGACUGUGGCCAUCCCUCCGCACUCUGGAGCAGUGCUGAAAAGAGCGAUGCAGCAGAGAAAUGCCACAGAAAGGGAAGAUGGAGAGAUUCGAAGUGUGAGAGGAAUUCAACCUGCUGUCGCUGGAAGGAUUCCCGAUGGAACACAUGAGAAUAAACCUGUGUAGCAUCUAGGAGCAAAGACUCACCCCUGGCUGACACUAUUCUGGAGGCUGCUAAGACCAAGAUCAAGGUGCCAGCAGGUCCGGUGCCUGGCUCUUCUCACUGCCUGAAAAGGCCUGCCCACCAUUCUCCACCUGGCUAACUCUCACACGUAGCUCAGGACUCAAGUUACUGGUAGCCUCCCCAUGAAACCUUCAAUGAUUCUCCAAUGCCCCCUCCCAUCCUCUCUCUGCCUUAAAAUGCACGUAUAUGAAAUUAUUGAAACGCUCCUACACUGUAAGACGAACAACAGAGACUAUAUUUUAUCCAUUUUCUUUCUCUACCAUGGUGUCUGGUGCAUGGUGUGGAUUUAAUUAAAGUUUAUUGAACUGAA